rnacentral:sRNA from 1 species
GCCGUGCUUCACUGCGAAUUCUGUGAAUUCUCCUCCGGCUACAUCCAGAGCAUCAGGCGUCAUUACCGGGACAAGCAUGGUGGGAAGAAGCUUUUCAAGUGCAAAGACUGCUCCUUUUACACAGGCUUUAAAUCUGCUUUUACUAUGCACGUGGAAGCUGGGCACUCAGCGGUUCCCGAGGAGGGCCCCAAAGAUCUUCGCUGUCCUCUCUGCCUCUAUCACACCAAAUACAAGCGCAACAUGAUUGACCACAUCGUGCUGCACCGAGAAGAGCGUGUUGUCCCCAUUGAAGUUUGCCGGUCCAAACUGUCCAAAUACUUGCAGGGAGUAGUUUUCCGCUGUGAUAAGUGUACCUUCACCUGCUCCAGUGAUGAGAGCCUCCAGCAACAUAUAGAAAAGCACAAUGAACUGAAACCUUACAAAUGCCAGCUCUGCUACUAUGAGACCAAGCACACGGAGGAACUGGACAGCCACCUUCGGGAUGAGCAUAAGAUGAUUUGCAUUAUAAUGGGAAAAGCUUGAGCUGUGUCAUCUGGAGAUCUGAGUCCUAACUAAUCCUGGCUUCAUCACUUACCUGUUUUGUGAUCUUCAUCUACAAAUAUAGAAGGCAACACAUUUACUGCACAAUGGUCGUAAGGGAUAAGUGAUACACGUA